CCUCAGUAACGGCGAGUGAAGCGGUAACAGCUCAAAUUUGAAAUCUGCCGCAAGGCCGAGUUGUAAUUUGUAGAAGAUGCUUUGGGUAUGGCCCCGGUCUAAGUUCGUUGGAACACGACGUCAUAGAGGGUGAGAAUCCCGUAUGUGACUGGGUGCUUUUGCCUAUGUAAAGCUCUUUCGACGAGUCGAGUUGUUUGGGAAUGCAGCUCAAAAUGGGUGGUAUAUUUCAUCUAAAGCUAAAUAUUGGCCAGAGACCGAUAGCGCACAAGUAGAGUGAUCGAAAGAUGAAAAGCACUUUGGAAAGAGAGUUAAACAGUACGUGAAAUUGUUGAAAGGGAAGCGCUUGCAACCAGACUUGCACGCUGUUGAUCAUCUAGGCUUCUGCCUGGUGCACUCGGCAGCGUUCAGGCCAGCAUCGGUUCUGGUGGUGGGAUAAAGGCCUUGGGAAUGUAGCUUCUUUCGGGGAGUGUUAUAGCCCUCGGUGCAAUGCCGCCUACCGGGACCGAGGACCGCGCUUCGGCUAGGAUGCUGGCGUAAUGGUUGUAAGCGACCCGUCUUGAAACACGGACCAAGGAGUCUAACAUCUAUGCGAGUGUUUGGGUGUCAAACCCAUACGCGUAAUUAACGUGAACGGAGGUGAGAACCCUUAAGGGUGCAUCAUCGACCGAUCCUGAUGUCUUCGGAUGGAUUUGAGUAAGAGCAUAGCUGUUGGGACCCGAAAGAUGGUGAACUAUGCCUGAAUAGGGUGAAGCCAGAGGAAACUCUGGUGGAGGCUCGCAGCGGUUCUGACGUGCAAAUCGAUCGUCAAAUUUGGGUAUAGGGGCGAAAGACUAAUCGAACCAUUGAUACUAGGUGGUCAAGAGAUAGUUAGAGUAC
rnacentral:rRNA from 1 species